AGCCUGUCCUCAUGGGGGAGGUGCUCCAGUCCCCUGAUCAUCUUUGUGGCCCUCCUCUGGACCCUCUCCAACAGCAUCCCUGUCUUACCCCAUCAUUGGCAUCUUGUUUCUUCUGCAAAUAACAAUUACCUCAUGUUUCUGCUUAAUGUGAGCUGGACUUGGGUAGCUUUACCCAACUUAGAAAGAUUUUUCAGGAAUUAUAGGUGUGUGGCUGCUCCACUCCUCACUGAUACAUUAAAUCUUCACAGUGGGUUUUCUGCUGAGUUGAGAACUCUCACUAUGUUACUUUUGGUAAUACAAGUGCCAAAGCUGACUUACGCUUGCCAUAUGGUAAGCUGGCCUCUUCUCUACUGUAAUUCACAUGCUCUCACAGGAGAGAAAUCUUUGAUAAUUCCAGCUGGUCUCCCCACCACUCCAGCUCUAGUGCUAACUUUCCUGGAGGUAUCACAGGGAGCCUAGAUUUCUUCUUUAGCAGCUGGUAUCACCACAUUUUACCUGAACAGAUCUCAUUCAGUGAAUGAACCGCUGGUUGUAGUAAAGCUAGAUCAGUGUUGUGCAUCCUUGGUUAGGAUAUGCCUCUCAAAUCUUUGGUGCCUCUAAACACAGGGUAAAACUUGACAGUCCAAACAGUUUGGUUUUGGCUUUGAUGUAGAACCAGAAGAUUUCUUUCUGCAGUGUUUCCUUGCAUUGCUUAUACUUGGAUUUUUUUUUUUAGCUAAUAUGCAGAUGUUUAUUUUUUUUUGUUGGUACAGAACACUGUGUACUUCUGUGAGAGACUGUAACAAUAUUCCAAGGGGGAACUAUGAGGAAAGGGAAAGCAAAUGAAAAUAAAAAUGUUUUUAAUUUGAUUGAAAGACAUCAAAUCUUUUGAUUUGAAGGUUUUGCUUGUGCAAAGAAAGCAAAGGCUCUGCAGCAAAUCUCUACCUAAUAGUUCAGCUUCAAAGUACAACCUGGUGCCAGAACAGAGCUUCAUGAAGCUUCCCACUGGUUCCUUCCAGGAUCCCCUAGGUUAGAGAAAGUAGGACUACUUCAAUACCCUCUGCUAUGAGAACUAGUAAAUAUUUUAUUAAUUCAGUGAGCAGAAUUAAAUUUUGUGGCAUAAUACAUUUGCAUUGCUAAAUACUACUUUUUACCAGUCUUUGGUGCUGACUGCCCUCUGCCAGAGUAGUCCCUAUAUGCAACUGGAUUGAAACCAGACUUUCAUAGCUCACCUAGAUUUCUUCAAAAGAUUUCUGUCCUUGUAGAGUGCUGGUUGGUCUUGGUUGUUAAUUCUAACCAUGACAGUUCCUUCACUAACUUCAUGGUAUUGCCAUCAGGAUGUUAGAAAGUCAUUUUGCUCUUGUCUUUUCUCAUUUAAAACAAAGGACCGUAUUUCUUUUCUUUCUUUUUCUCAGUAAAGAACUCUGGAGAAUACGUCUGAUAAAACUAAUAGCAUUUGCUGUUUAAACAGUUAUUGUUAAUCUAUUUUUUUAAAAUGUCAUAUGUUAGCAUAAUGCAUUUUCAGACAAAACAAUAAGUAUGUUGUAUAUUUAUCUUGUACUGUGUGAGAAGCUUUUUGUGGAAUAUGCAUAAAUGCAUUUGUAUCUGCAUGGUUGUCAAUGCCAUAUGUUGAAGAUACCAUAUUCCUCCAAGGAUAUAGAUGCUAACAGUCAGUAGGUGGAUCUGGUGUGCUUAGAAAAAUCAAGGAUCAGGAUGCAUUGGUUUCACGUUGGCUUUGCUUAUUACAUAUAACCUAUAUGGAAAUGUAUGUAAGUGGUUCUUUUUCAAUUGACGCUGGACCCUUUGAACCCAUUGCAAGUUUGUGUUGCUGACACCACUAAUCAUAGCAGACAACAGUGGCAGUCAGGUGUUUUAUCUACAGUUUUAAUGAUGUGACUAUGUGUUGCAAUUCAUGCAUGUAAUGUCUGUGCUAUGUCAGGAGUGGAAUGUUUUAUAAAUAUGCAUAUGGAGUGUGUAUUGUCUUCAGUGGUGUCUGGAAUUUCAUUCAGGACAACUUUACAAACAAAAAUAUUGUCUCAGUGCAGUUCAAUUAGCAUUGUCAAGUUAAAUGAUGUAAAUUACCCCAAAUAUUGGGAUAAUGAAAAUUCCAGUAAACACUGAAUACAGACGUAAGUGAAGGAGAAAUAAAUAUAACAUCUGAGAUAUUCACUGCACAGACACAGUGGUUUUCUAAGAGGAGGUUUAACUGAAGGGGAAAAAAAGAAAAACUGAACUUACCUGUGUGAUGUCUCUUCAUAGCUUUUUUCAUAGUGUUUUUCCAUCUCUAAAGCUGCCAAUCACACUCCGAGUUAAAAUUUAAGCAUGUGGCAUAUCUUUUAAAGGACAGUAUUUUUUUAAUCGUUAUCUUUACAUUUCUGGUACAAAUCUGAUCAACUUUAUAUUUCUCAAGCUCUAACAGUUUAUAAUCCUUUAUAGCUCCAAGAGGACUCAAAAGCACAAUAUCCAGUAACGUAAAAAGUUGAAACUAUAUUUAAAUUGGACACGUAAGAUCUUUUAUAUUCUAUCAAAGCUCUGUGACUUGGAAAGCUUUUAGCACCCUUCUUUGUAUUUCCUGUGCUUAGACAGAUUACAGGGAGGAAAAAAUUCCAUUGUCAUUUAUGUACCCCUGCAACAACAUUAAUGGAAAUAUGGUGUCUAAGCAUUAGAUCAUUUAGUCUACUUCAAUAAACCAUCUUAUUUUUUGUGGCCAUUGUA